ACAGGGUGCAUGUACCACGUGACUUUUUCGCUAAUCUGGGGUGCCAAAAACAUGGCGGAUUCCUCGAUAAAGACAUUUGUGUGCCAGGAAUGCGGAAGGGCUUAUAAUUCCAAAAAAAGCCUUCUGCGCCACGAAAGAGGCCACAGAAAUCUUGGAGCUUACAUGUAUAACUGCGGCGAGCGGUCUUUUCCGGACAACAUUUCUAUGCGAAAAGCUAUUCCAGACUGGCGGCCAUGACAGAUGUGGGUGAGAAAUCAUAAAGAGUGACUGAGUACUUUGAUAUGUAGCAAAGAAGUUCAUUGUUGAUAAUAGUGUUUCUUUAUGAUUUAUUGAAUACGAUCAGAAAUACAGAGCUCUCAAUGCUGUAAACUUUUUGUUGUGAAAUUCGCCGCUGAAUCCAUUUCCAAAAGUGUUCGUUUUACUAUACAGCAAAGAAGGAGAAAUUGUACCGGGCCGACACCACAGAGUGAAAGUUGGUGCAUUUUUCAUUAAAUCAGUCAAAUUAAGCAUUUCACUUUAGGUAAAAUAUGCAGUUUAAAGUCGGUAGAAAGCUUUCAUUUGUCAUGACUAUUUUAA